UGCCAGGCGAAGCGCCAGCACCCCAAAUCAAGACUUUUUUAUUUUCCGUGGCGGGAAAUCGAGCUUUUCCAGGUAUCUACAGCCUGUAGAAAUUCAACGCUGAGAAUUUCCAACUAUUGUCCGGCUUUGGUCCUCUGCCACCGACCUAUCCUUUGAAGGAGAAUGCUGAAACCAGUUGGUUGCUCUUCAGUAGUUCUUUCUCUAUCGUAUACAUAUUUUUGUAUGUCGACACAUGCCGUGUGCGACGACGUAGACACUUCUCAACACUUGAGUGACUUGAAUUUGGCCAUGAUGACCGAAUGUCAUUGGACCGUGGAGUCGAGUAGAGGGCUCAGGCUCGAUCGGCACAACGGUUCAUUGCAGGUUGAAGGAGGAAUGAACGUCUACUCUUUCUUUCCAAAACUGGCUGGGCACACGCCAAUGAGACGGAAGCUAGUGCCAAACCAGUCCUUGGAAGUUUUGUUGUGCUGCUGGACUUUCAAUCAUCAUGUAAAGUAUAUUCCGGUUUCUGAGUCUUCGUGUGCGCCUGAAGAGCUACACUGUGUAGAGAUGUUGGAAGUUUAUCCUGCUCACGACACUGCACCAAGUACAAGCACUUCCUCGGCACUGCCUGAGCCCUGUUCUGUGUUUCCUGUGACCAGGAGAAGCAACUAGAAAUUGGAGCUUGAGCUGGAACGCUGGUGCUCUCUCUCUCUCUCUCUCUCUCUCUCUCUCUCUCUCUCUCUCUCUCUCUCUCUCUCUCUCUCUCUCUCUCUCUCUCUCUCUCUCCGUCACGUUCUGCCACUGUCCGAAACCGGUGCAUGUGCUAGCAUGUCGAAGCGCAUUGUGUCUGAGUCACGUACUCACUCUCCUGCUCCUCCCUCAUAUGCCCAAGACAGUAUGACCAACUGUGAAUACAGUUCAUGCCCACA